rnacentral:rRNA from 1 species
GAUGAACGCUGGCGGCGUGCCUAAUACAUGCAAGUCGAGCGAACAGACGAGGAGCUUGCUCCUCUGACGUUAGCGGCGGACGGGUGAGUAACACGUGGAUCACCUACCUAUAAGACUGGGAUAACUUCGGGAAACCGGAGCUAAUACCGGCUAAUAUAUUGAACCGCAUGGUUCAAUAGUGAAUGACGGUUUUGCUGUCACUUAUAGAUGGUUCCGCGCUGCAUUAUUUAGUGGGUAAGGUAACGGCUCACCAAGGCGACGAUGCGUAGCCGACCUGGGGGGGGAUUCGGCCACACGGGAACUGAAACCGGGCCCUGACACCUAGGGAAGGCGGCAGGGGGAAAGUUUGCCAAAUGGGCGAAAGCCUGACCAAGCAACGCCACGUGGGUGAUGAAGGUCUGCGGAUCGUAAAACGCUGUUAUGGGGGAAAAACAAAUGUGUAAGUAACUAUGCACGUCUGAACGGAACCAAAGCAGAAAGCCACGGCAAACUAGGG